rnacentral:tRNA from 1 species
GCGCCCGUAGCUCAGCUGGAUAGAGCAUUUGCUUGCGGAGCGAAAGGUCAGGUGUUCGAAUCACCUCGGGCGCA